UACGGAGGGUGCAAGCGUUAUCCGGAUUCACUGGGCUUAAAGGGUGCGUAGGUGGGUAAGUAAGUCCGUGGUGAAAUCUCUGAGCUUAACUCAGAAACUGCCGUGGAUACUAUUUAUCUUGAAUAUUGUGGAGGUGAGCGGAAUAUGUCAUGUAGCGGUGAAAUGCUUAGAUAUGACAUAGAACACCAAUUGCGAAGGCAGCUCACUACACAAUUAUUGACGCUGAGGCACGAAAGCGUGGGGAUCGAACAGG
rnacentral:rRNA from 1 species